AUUUGCCAACGAACUUCUGAAUGAGAGAUGUGACUUGUUGAUAGUUAGAACCCACAACUCUUCCCAACCCGUUAUCACAUCAUUUAUUUACUAUUCUGGCGUCUUAUUCUCCACGAAUCGUCAUAAUAAAUUUAAUUAUCUUCAACUUCGGAAAUGGUUUAAAAGAGCUAUUAGCUUUGAAUAGACAUAUCGGGGUGCAUCUAUACCCCAGAGAUGAUCCAAGUGUCCGAAAUUAGGAUUAGGUACUUUCAGCUCUGCGUAGACAUUAGGGUGUGCAAGCCAGUCGUUGAGACCAUAAGAAAUAAUCACUGGGGUUGUAACUUUCGAGAGAUCGUACGACGGGGGAGUCAU